rnacentral:tRNA from 1 species
GUAAGUGUAGUUUAAAUAUAUAUAGAAAUGGGGGUUUGCAAAACCCUUGGUGGGCUACCUGCUUACU